UACGGAGGGUGCGAGCGUUGUCCGGAAUCACUGGGCGUAAGGGCGCGUAGGCGGCGAGGAUAGUCAACGGUGAAAGCUUGGGGCUCAACCCCGAGUCGGCCGUCGAUACUCCUUGCUCGAGCACUGUAGAGGCAGAUGGAAUUCCUGGUGUAGCGGUGGAAUGCGCAGAUAUCAGGAGGAACACCAAUAGCGAAGGCAGCUCGCUGGGACGUUACUGACACUGAGGCGCGAAAGCGUGGGGAGCGAACAGG
rnacentral:rRNA from 1 species